UCCUUUGCUAUAAUGAACUUGAAACAGAGGUGGAAAUGAUUAACUCGGCUGCUCGGUAAUCUCAGCCGGGAACUUUGCUCGGUAAUGUGAAACUGAUUUUUAAACUGAUUAUAUUUAUACUUAAUGACUCAAUAACAUGCUGGUUUUGGUGAUUUUGAAAUAACUCAAGGUCACAUGAUUCUUGGUGUAGAUUGUUCUGGUUUAUGUGACUCAACUACUGUAAUAUUUCUUCUGGUUUAUGUGACUCAACUACUAUGUUAGACUUACAUGAUGAA